GUGUGUGUGUGUGUGUGUCAUUGUCCUCUCUGCUCUUUACCGUUCUUUUCCGUCUCUCUCUCUCUCUCUCUCUCUCUCUCUCUCUCUCUCUCUCUCUCUCUCUCUCUCUCUCUCUCUCUCUCUCUCUCUCUCUCUCUCUCUCUCUCUCUCUCACAACACCCCCCUCUCCUUUCCCCCUUUCCUCCACCUCCCUUCCAUCCCACCUCCCCCUCCACCUCUCCCCUCUCCUCUCCCUCCCCCUCCCUCUUCCUCUACCCCGCGGCAAGAGUGAAAGUGUGUGUGUGUGUGUGUGUGUGUGUGUGUGUGUGUGUGUGUGUGUGUUUCAGUGUCACGCAAUAUAACGUGAAAUGUAAGAAAAGUGUGGUUGAAAAAAAUACACAACUGCAAGAAAUAAAAACGAGCGAGAAACAAAAUGAUGAAAUAUCGAAAAAUGGCGAAAAUCAGAAGAAUAAAAAGUGAAAACGAAAAAAAAAAAGAUACACGUAAAAAAAUAUUUAUCCUCGUGAUCUGAAAAGGGAAAAGAAAAUAUGAAAUGCAAAAGAAAAAGUGAAGAAUAUGACUCGAAAGAAAAAAAAGAAAGAGCUAAAAAUAAAUGGCAUGGAAGAAAAUAUUAUGAAAAAAGAAAGAAAAAAAUGAAUGUUGGUGUUUGUGCGUGAGAUCCAAGAAACAAGAAAAUAAGUAAAGAAAGAAAGUGUAAAGAAGAGAUGGAGGAGACGUCUAAUGGGCCCCCAACACCGCCACACCUGUCCAACACACCUGAACUUAAUUAGCACUCCACCACGUGCUCCCAGUGAUGGAGAGAAGAUGAAGAGAUGAUGAAAGGAAGAUUGAGGCAAGCGACUGAAGGAGAGAUACUGGAGAGAAGAUGCUGAUGAGAAGAUGCUGGAGAGAAGAUGCUGGAGAGAAGAGGUUGGAGAGAAGAUAAGGAAGAUGGACCCGGAGAGAAAAAAGUAUAACCAAGCAAACACUGGUAUGAAGGAGCACGAUAAUAGUGAAUGUCCUGCUCGGUGGAAAUAAGUUUGUCUUCACAUACACCUGCGACCACCUAUAAUUUUAGAUCAUGGUGCUGAUAAUAAUGAUAAUAUCCAGAGAAAGCGUAAGAAAAACCAGGGAAAGUGGAAGAAGGAAAAGUGGAGUGGAAACGUGAUGACAUAAAUACUGGACUCUCAGAAUCUUCCAGCAACUCCCUGGAAGUGGAAGCUGUGAAGCACAACUCUUACAACACUGAGCAUCGUGUGGAUCAGCCGGCCGGAACGCCAUCAGCACUCUCUUCACGCAGCCGUGCAAGGCUUUUGUCUCGACCCUCCCGGCCUCCCAGCCGUCACGGCGUCCAAAAACUGAGCCUGUUUACUAGGGGAUUGGUCCGGAAGUUUGAAGGCCGAACCACUCUGCCACAGUGUGCAAGGCAGCUCCACCCAGGGACGUCAAGCCGGGAACCUUGUCGGAGGGCCGUAACACCUGGCACGGCCCGCACUCCACCGCACCUGGAGGAAAGCAACGGCCGCCAGGACAAAGAACACUCCCGUUCCCUUGGCACCGUGUCCAUUUUGUCCUAAGCUUUACAGAACUUGAUUUUCCAUUUUUCAGGUGCUGGUUAUAGCGCCGGUAAGCUUUCUCGAGAGACCUCUUGAACGGUCCCGGCCCGUUAGUGGCGCAGGCGAAUUUUAUUAAUAGUGGCUGCCGUGAUAUUUGGCCCAUGCUGCCCCCCGGUGCUCCACUUGAACGAAGUCGCUGAAGUUAGGGUUGACUGAAGAUCUGGGCAGCACGAGGGUGAUCUGCGCGUGUAUCGGUGGGACUCGAACCCAGGUCAGGGGUCACCACGCCUGCACGCUGACCACCGCCUCCCUUAUGCUUCCGCUUCUAGUACUUUAGCUGCCUGGGGACUGAAGAUCACUACUGUUAUUUUUUUCUAUACUGUAAAACAAGGGGGGGGGGGACCUAGGGAGCUAUAGUAUAGGAAAAAAAUUGGAAAAGAAAGUUCUGUUAACAUUGAGUUGUCUGUAAACCUGUGUAAUAGUGCUCGGAAAGCUAAAGUAUAAAAUGUAAAGGGAAAAUUAACAGCAAAAUAUUGUAUUGAUCUGAAGACCUGCUCAAUAAACUGACGGGAAAACU